UACACUCCUACGGGAGGCAGCAGUGGGGAAUUUUGGACAAUGGGCGAAAGCCUGAUCCAGCAAUGCCGCGUGCAGGAUGAAGGCCUUCGGGUUGUAAACUGCUUUUGUACGGAACGAAAAAGCUCCUUCUAAUACAGGGGGCCCAUGACGGUACCGUAAGAAUAAGCACCGGCUAACUACGUGCCAGCAGCCGCGGUAAUACGUAGGGUGCGAGCGUUAAUCGGAAUUACUGGGCGUAAAGCGUGCGCAGGCGGUUAUGUAAGACAGAUGUGAAAUCCCCGGGCUCAACCUGGGAACUGCAUUUGUGACUGCAUGGCUAGAGUACGGUAGAGGGGGAUGGAAUUCCGCGUGUAGCAGUGAAAUGCGUAGAUAUGCGGAGGAACACCGAUGGCGAAGGCAAUCCCCUGGACCUGUACUGACGCUCAUGCACGAAAGCGUGGGGAGCAAACAGGAUUAGAUACCCCAGUAGUCCCAUGA
rnacentral:rRNA from 1 species